rnacentral:misc_RNA from 1 species
GAUGAAGAACGUAGCGAAAUGCGAUAAGUAAUGUGAAUUGCAGAAUUCAGUGAAUCAUCGAAUCUUUGAACGCACAUUGCGCCCGCCAGUAUUCUGGCGGGCAUGCCUGUUCGAGCGUCAUUUCAACCAUCAAGCCCCCGGCUUGUGUUGGGGACCUGCGGCUGCCGCAGGCCCUGAAAAGCAGUGGCGGGCUCGCUGUCACACCGAGCGUAGUAGCAUACAUCUCGCUCUGGGCGUGCUGCGGGUUCCGGCCGUUAAACCACCCUUUUAACCCAAGGUUGACCUCGGAUCAGGUAGGAAGACCCGCUGAACUUAAGCAUAUCAAUAAGCGGAGGA